AACCGUCUUGUAAAACGUAUAUUUUAAGGCGCGGAGCUGAAGGCCAGCCAGUGUUCACCUGACCUCUGUCGGAUGCUGGUCAUUAUGGAGGUGCGCGCAUUUUUUCUAUGCUUUCUCGUGCUUUUGUCGCUUGCCAUGUUGACGGCCGCCUCUCCAGCAGUGAUACCGAGAGGGGGCGGUCCCUGCGUGUGUUAUAAACUCCCCUGUCCUUGCGAGCCAGAUCCUGACUUUCCUUCAAGCACUUCAUUUCUGCGAGAGAGUCCGCCUUUUGCUUGGAAAUAGGUAGAACGUGCUUGGAAAUAUUGGAAAUUCGUGAAGACUGGGAUUUUUGUGUGUGUUUUUUUU